UUAAUUUUAUGAAACAUCAAAUGUUUCAGUAUAGCUGUAUAUACAUAUAAUAUUAUCUAUCUAAUAUGAUUAACUUAUUCAUUUUGUAUUUUUUAUCAAGCAUUGCUUGAUAUUUGUUAUUCAUUAACAAACACAUCUAAAAUGCUCUGAAAGCAAAGCUUUCACUUUCGUUUAUACGAAAAUAUUACAUUGUGCCUGGACAGGAUUGGCUUCUAUAAGUCAGCCAAUGAGGAGGGAGAUAUAAAGGAAAGUAUAAAAACUAUGCAAAGUCUCUACACAAUAGAUUUGACCUUGUCGCUUGCAAACCUUCUGCCUUGAAUCGAAACUUAUUGUGAUUAUGAGCUUAGCAGGGGACAGCGAAGGAGAGGAUGAUGAAGAUGAUAAUGAUGAUGAAGAUAACCAGGGUGCUGGAAUAAGCAUCUGCUGCUAAGGGUAUAUGCUCCAGACCUUGUAUCCAGUGUUAGAAAACACCAAAAGAGACACGCUGGACCACAAACUGUGUUGAUUUGCUGAUACAAACCAGUAGCCCAGUCGAACACACAGUUCCUGUUGUGACAAAGAGUCACAAACAAAAAACCCUCGCCUGCCAUGCGCAAACAAGCAUGGCAAACCGUGACGUGACACAGAAUCUUCCGUGGGGACGAUGCAUCUCGCAAGGUUUCUGCUGUACAGUGGCAGCAGCAUCUCUGUUCUUCAGAUCGGCAUUGCUUUUGUGCCUGUUUGUGCGAGCCUGAAGAAACCAUGGAGGAAAGAAAGAAAUAAACAUGGAGUGGUGGAAACCUGAUGGUUAAAGAUCCGAGCUGCUGGUCCAGAGGUUUGAAGAUGUGAACACAAUCUUCCUAAUCCACCAUUGUGCUCGUGAGCAAAGCACUUGAUGACUUCAAGUUAUUUCAGCAGGACUUAAAUUACUGCAAUUGUUUCACUGUAGUCACUCAUAAGCAUCCAAUUUUAAACAAACAGGAUGGGCUGGACGGGCAACAUUCAUGGAUGCAUUUUGCUCAUAAACUAGGGGGUCACUGCCCUAUUAAAGCCCAGGUGUAAAUGUUUUAUGGUUAAAGAUAAUUUAUGGCUGAUUGGUCUGAGUAACUCUCCAGAAUAACUAGCAGAUGGUUUUUUGGAGUAGCAGAGAUCAGGGGCAGAGGUAAAAGAUCACUGUUUGAAUCGUCUUUUACCUCAAGAGGUUUAAUGCCACAAUACUGGCAUUCAGCCAUAAAGAGCGUGUUUAGUGCGGGACUACAUGCUCACCAGGACGUGGUCAACAAGCACACCCAAUCUGCAGGUUGUGCUUACAAAGUUGAAUUCACAGAGUUCUGAUAACUUAUUAAAACACAAUACACCAAUAUCACACACUGCUAGUGCACACACUAUGCAACAAGUGUAGACAUAAAUGAGAAUGUAAUGGGUAAAGUAACUCAUGCAUUACUCAUGUCCGAAUUUAAGGACUUAGGUCUAGCCUAAAUGAAGCCCCGCUGGUCACAACACCGGCGGCACUCAUGUCGUAUUGGGAGAUUAUUGUUGUACUUAGUUAUGUGGCUAGGGGAUUAUUAGCAUUGAUGUUCUUCAUGUCAUAACUGUGACUGUAUUACACUAGCUAGUAAGCCACGUGGUAACUCCCCUCCUAAAUAAAGUUGUGUGAUAAA